rnacentral:lncRNA from 1 species
GGAAAAAAUAAUUUUCAGUGUCACUCUAAAUAAGAUCAAACAGUCAAACGACAUCUCACUGUUUGAGAAAAUUACUUAAUUGAAUGAAGCACCACAGUUGUAGAGAACACAAGUAGGGAAAUAAAAGGCAUCAUGCCAUGUAGGAUUUGGAUAUAAUCUAUCGGUGAAAUCUAUUUUCCAAAGGACAUGAAGCAUGCUUUUGCCUCUUCUGAAAGUAUUUCUGCUGCCUUUUGAAGGGAGCAAUGUAGGUGAUUAAUUAUUCGCACUCACCUCACUCGAGCCUAGGUUAAGGCCAUCAAUUUGAGAGGGCUGAUUUUUGUUCUUCAGGUCCCUUACUAUGUUUCUCAGCUGUCUGUAGAAGGUUGCCAGAAUCACAUUAAGAUUUUCCAGGUAAUAGUGGGUUUUCU